UAUUUAUUUUACAAUUGUUGCUUUAUCAAUAAUUUAAUCGGUAAAGAAAUGUAGAAGUGAAUGAAGAAAAAGUGGGCUGAGCCUGGACCAAUGAUGACCACUGGUAGUGUAUGAGUCAUGGAUGGUGAAUACUAUGUGUCCAGAACUCUGAGGUCCAACACAAUAGGAGACCUAGUCUAUUUCCUCUGUUGGAAAUUGCCAUACUCACAGAUGUUAGUAAUAUACAAGGAUUGUGUUCUUGGUUUUUGUGUUCAAGAACUUUGAUUUUAUUAGUAUAAACAGAUAAAUGAAAGAGUCACUCAAUAUAAACAAAUAAAUAUGAAUAAGUGAAGCACUGUAAAUUAUGAAAGUUAAUAAAUCCCUAAGAGGCUGAAUAGCUGAAAUGUGGAGAGCAAAGUCAAUGCAGAUAAGGUCUCAAUUUUUAAAAAUCACCUUCUGUGCUUUGUACUUCUCAGCAUGGAUACAUUGGAGCUGAUUUAAGGAUUCAUCUAAGGUCACAAGAUGUCUGGUUGUCUCUGUGUUUGGCACAUAGAAACGAAUGUGAGUUUUUAUGGGUAAACACUCUAUUUGAAAAGUAUGAAUAUAAGCAAAGAAUGCCAGACAUGGUCCAUUGAUUAAUAAUGCAGCAUUAUAUUGAUUCAUCCCUAUAUGAAACUUUGAGGGUGAUUAAUGAAAGAGAUAUAUGAGUGUAGUAAACGAUUCUAUAGACAGAAGUUAAACGAUUCAAGGCCUAUGUUCUAGGUUUUUUGUGCUUCAUAGGUAUCCAUUUUAUUCCUAUUAGAGAAUUUGUUGAAUUAAUUACUAAACAAAGGUAGAUGAGAGUGGGGAAGAAAAGGGGCCAAGCCUGGAGCAAUGAUGACCACUGGUGGCAUACGCAUCGUGGAUGAUGAAUAUGUGUCUGGAACUCUGAGGUCCAACAUAAAAAAGAAAUCUAGUUUAUUGCCUCUGUUGGAAAUGAUCCUAUAGACAGAUUUAGGAUUUAUUUUAUAAAGCUCAUGCUCAGGGGUCUUUGUGUUUAUGGAUUUUGAUUCUAUUAUAAUAAAUGAAUCAAUAAAGAAUCAAUGUACAGAUGUAAAUAAAUAAGAUGAAGAGGGUGAAGCGUCGUCCAAUUAUGAAGAAAUUUAAGGCUAGAGAUAAUAUUAAUAAAUAUGGAAACACUAAGUCAGUUAAGAAAUAAAUGGUUCAAGGGUGUUUCCUCUAGCUAAGGAUGUUAUAGAUAAUAUAAAUAACGGCCAGUAUUUACUCUGGGUUAGUAGAAAGUUCAAUGUGGUUUGUUUUCUUAGGAAAAAGUUAUAUAUUACCCAAUUCAUAUAUAACAUAAUCACUGAAAAUUAAAUGUAGAUACAAAGAUCAGUAGAGGAAACAUCUCAAUCAUGUUAUCAUCUACUCUGCAUUCUGUGCUUUAGAAUGGACACGCUUUAGCUGAUUUAAACAUAUGUCUUGGUCAACAGUCUCUGAAUUUGCCUGUACAUGGAAACCAAUGUGAGUAAUAGUCAGUGGUCUCAUCUUACUGUGGGUAGUUUGUUUAGGGUAUUCUUUGAAAUAUUAAAAAAAAUAUUCACUAUAAGAAAAAAUAAUAACCAUGGUCCAGUGAUUAAAUUGGAAAUGUAUGAAUCAUUCUGUUGAUUAAUCCAUCUUUAGAAUGAUGAGGGUGAUUAAUGAAAGAAGUGUACUCAAUUAGGCAGUGGUUCUAAAGAAAAUUAUAAAGAUACUGAAGGCUCUUGUCCUUGAGCUUUUGUGACUCAUAGAUAUUUAUUUAAUUACCAUCAGUAAAUUGAUAAAUUAAUCACUAAACAGAAGUAGAUGGGAGGAAGAAAAAGAGUCGCAAAACUGGACCAAUGAUGACAUCUGGUGGCGUAGGAGUCAUAUACGAUGAAUACCAUGUGUCUGGAAGUCUGAGGUCCAACACAAAACAAAAUCUAGUCUGUUUCCUGUCUUGCAAAUCAUCCCUAUAAACAAGGAUAUUGUUCUUCUAAUUUUGGAUCCAUGAAUUUCUAUGUUAUUAAUAUAAAAAGAUCAAUGAUAUAACCAAUAAACAAAGUAUAACUAAAUAAAAACAAGAAUGAAGCCUUAUCAACCAUGAGUAUAUGUGGUGAGGCAAGAAGUACUAUUAAUAUAAAUUGAAGAAACUGAUGCAUAUUAAUAAAUGGAUGGACCAAGGGUGUUAGCUCUUUUUCUAAGGAUCAUGUCAUUAUAUUCAUAUUUAUGCUUAUGUAUGUGUAUAAAUCAUGGAAAAUAAUAAAUACCUUUGUGGCUGAGUAAAUGAAAUGAGGAAAACAAGGACCAAUUUAGAGAAAGUCUCAAUUUUUUUCUAUCAUCUGCUCUGCUCUGUACUCCUCAGAACGGAUGGACGCUAGUGGAUUUAAGCAUCUUUCAUGGUCACGUGCUCUAUAGACCAAUGUGAGUAAUGCAGUAAGCAAAUUCAUGUCUUUGAGAGCUUCUCUUUUUCCUCAAAUAUUCACUGUAUUGUUAGAAGUGUGGAAUAGAAUUAAUAUUAGUAAUAAUGAGUUAAUCAAUGAACUUAUGCAGAUGAGAAUGAAGAAAUAGAGGCCCAUGUAUGGACCAAUGAUGAUGACUGAUAUCAUAUGAGUUAUGGAUGAUGAAUACUACAUGUCUGAAACUCAGGUUCAGUAAAUAAAAGAAAUAUAAUCUGUUGCCUCUAUUUGGUAUUACACCAUAGACAAAUAUUAGGAAAAUAAAAGAGCAAUUUUCUUGUUUUGUGUUCAUGAAUUUUGAUUUUACUUUAAAAAAAUAGCCCAAAGAAAUAAGUGUAAGUAUAAAUGAGUUAAGAUGAAGAGGUUGAAGCAUAUUCACUCUUAAUAUAUGUGGUAAGGCAAUAAAAACUAUUAAUAUUGAUUGAAAAUACUGAAGUUCAUUUGGAAAUGUAAAUGGUGCAAAUGUCAUACCUCUUUGGCUAAGAAUGAUCUAGAAAAUGAAUAACAGUCAAAGUUCUUAUUCUAUGGUAGUACCAGGUUUGAUAUUGUUCUUUUUUCUAAGAGAAAAAUAAGAAAUAUGACCUGAAUUUAUGAUAUUCCUAAAUGACUGACUAGAUGAAGGUGGAAUGUGUGGAUCAAUAACGAGUAUCUCAAUGUUGUUAUUAUCUCUCCUGCUUUUUACGACUCAGAAUGAGUACACUGGAACCUAUUUAUGUAUUUGGCCAUGAUCAGGACCUCCAUGGAUGGCCUUGUGUGUAAGAGCAUGAAGACCAAUGUGAAGAACAGAUUCCUCUCAUGGUUUAGGUGGUUUGUAUAGGAUAUUCAGUGUAAUACUAAAAAUUAUUAAAUAUAUUCAAAGAUGGCCAAACAUGGCUUAAUGAUUACCAUGGAAUUGACAUGAAACUUUGUGUUGAUUAAUCGAUAUUUCCCACAAUGAGGAUGAUUAUUGAAAUAAGUACAUUCCAUGAGGCAAAAGAUUCUAUAGGCAGAAGUUAGUAUUUAAGAUCUGGUCCUUGAGUUUUUUGACUCACAGAUAUUUAUUUUAUUAUUAUUAAUGAAUUAAUAAAGUGAUCAGUAAACAAAUGUCGAUGAGAAUAAAGAAAAAGAGUCUAAGCUUGGACCAUGAUGAUGACUGAUGGCAUAUGAGUCGUAUAUGAUGAAUACUGUGUGUCUGAAACUCUGAGGUCCAGCAAAAGAAAUCUAGUCCAUUUCCUCCGUUGGAAGUGUUCCUAUAGACAGAUGUCAGGAAUAUAUAGGGACCUUGUUUUAUUCUUUGUGGUUCACGAGUUUUAAAAAAUAUUAUUAUAAAAUGUUACUGGCCGAAUAAACAAGUAUAUAAGUGACUAAAGAUGAAGAGGGUUAAGUACUGUUCAUUACUUAAAUACAUAGUAAAGAGAAAUAAUAUUAAUAUAAGUUAGAAUGGAUAAUUAACAGAUCAAGUAUAUUAUGCAUUUUUGAGUAAGGAUGAUAUAGACAGUGAUAUGUAAUAGUCAGUUAUUGAUCUGAGUCUAUUGCAAGCUUGAUGUUUGUUUUAUUAAGGAAAAAACAAAUAAAUAUUACCAUAAAUUAAUAAAUACCUAAAUGACUAUGUAUAUGAAUGGUGGAAAGUAUGGAUCAAUGGAGAGAAUAUCAAACUUUUUAUCACCUGCUCUGCUUGGUACUAUUCAGAAUUGAUGCCCCAGCUGAUUUCAGCUUCUGCUGUGAUCAAGAUUGUCCUAUUGCCUCUGUAUUAGAAAGAGACAAAGAAUGGACCAGUCGAGCUGAUUGGAAAAUUCUCUCGUGGUCACGUUCUCUGGUUGUCUCCACGUCUUUGGUGUGUAGAGACCAAUAAAGAGGACCCUGAACUCAGGAGCUCAUGGGAGCAUCUCUGUGUAGGAGCAUUAAGUCCAGUAAACGACACACUCAAGCUGAUUCAAGCAUUUUCUAUGUUUUCCUCUGUGUGUUAAGAGCCUAGAGAUGAAUAAUGGAUGCAUGCUGGUGGGUUUAAGCAUCUUGCACGGUCCUGUGCUCUAUAGACCAAUAAUGGAUGCACCUGUAUUGGUUAAGCAUUGACCAUGAUCAGGAACUCUGCUGGUUGUCCUGUGUAUAAGUACAUGUGGUCCAUAAUGGAUCUUCCAAGCUGAUUAAGAUCGUCAUGUUGCUCCCGUGUCAGGAAAGAGACAAAGAUGCAGAAAUUAAUGAAGAAAAAGAGAAACAUAUACCGGUAAUGACAACUGGUGGCAUAUGAGUUAUAAACAAUGAAUACUACGUGUCUGGAACUCCGGGCUCCAACACAAAACAUAAUUAGUUGAAUCUCUCUUUUGGAAAUGAUCCAGUAGACCAGCGGUCCCCAACAUUUUUGGCACCAGGGACCGGUUUCGUGGAAGACAAUUUUUCCACGGAUGGCACGGAGGGAGAUGGUUCAUGCGGCAAUGCGAGCGAUGGAGAGCAGCGAUGGGGAGCGGCAGACGAAGCUUCGCUCGCUCGCCCGCUGCUCACCUCCUGCUGUGCAGCCCGGUUCCUAACAGGCCUUGGACCAGCACCGGUCCGCAGUCUGGGGGUCGGAGACCCCUGCAGCAGACAGAUGUCAGAAAUAUACAAAUAUUGUGUUCUUAUUUUGAGUUCAUAGAUUUAGAUUUAUUAUUACUAGUGGCUUGACGGUAGAAUAAAAUAGAAGUAAAUAGAUAAAGAAGAAUGUUAAGCAUUGUCCAACUAUGAACAUAUGUGGUGAGGCAAGAAAUAUUACUCAUAAAAAUUAAAGAAGACACUGCUGCCUCCUAAGAAAUGAAUGAAUCAAGGAUGUUACCUUUGUGGCUAAGAAUCACGUAGGCUGAUGAAUAAGAGUCAGUUUUAUUUACUGGAUCAGUUUCAAGUUUGAGAGAGUUUCCUUUGUUAAGAGAAAAGAAAAUCCAUAUCAUGAAAAAUAUAUAAAUACCUAAAUGACUGAGUAACUGGACGGUGGAAAGCAGGGAUCAAUGGAAAUAAGGUCUCAAUUAUCUUUAUCAUCUGCUCUGCUCUGUAGGCCUCAGAAUGGACACACCUGAGCUGAUUUAAGCAUCUUCCAUGGGUACCAGGUCUAUGGUUGCACCCGUGUGUUAGGAGCAUACAGACCAAUGUUUUCCCUACACAUUCCUUAAUUGAUAACGAUGUAAGCUAUUUUCAUUAUGAGGACGGAGCACAUAGGAUACAAUGAAUGAACUGAACUGAUGUAAGCCUUUUGCCCUGGCUGUGAAUUCUGUAUUAGGAGCAAAGAGACCAAUGUACGUGGGGAGUUUCAUGCCUUUUUGGAGGUCUGAGGUCUUCUGCCAGCAUUCAGUAGGUGUUCUGUAGAAGUUGUUCCACGUGUAGAUGUAUUUCUGAUGUAUUUGUGGGGAGGAAGGUGAUCUCCACAUCUUACUCUUCCACCAUCUUGAAGCUCUUCUCUCUGGCAAGUAUUUUAGUAGCAAUUGACCUAUGUUGAAUGUUCAUGAAUAAUUUUUUCACUUAUACCAAACACUGAGCCUUCAUUUUACUUGGCCUUGUCAUAUUUUUGUUUUAUGUACUAAAUUUACUUGAGUUGUAUUAAAAAAAUAAAAGAAAUAAUUGG